UACGUAGGGCGCAAGCGUUGUCCGGAAUUAUUGGGCGUAAAGAGCUCGUAGGCGGCCUGUUGCGUCCGCUGUGAAAACUCGGGGCUUAACCCCGAGCCUGCAGUGGAUACGGGCAGACUAGAGGUAGGUAGGGGAGAAUGGAAUUCCUGGUGUAGCGGUGAAAUGCGCAGAUAUCAGGAGGAACACCGAUGGCGAAGGCAGGUCUCUGGGCAUUAACUGACGCUGAGGAGCGAAAGCAUGGGGAGCGAACAGG
rnacentral:rRNA from 1 species